GGGGCUUACUCAGUGGUAUCGCCACUGCACAACUUCCUGUAAAAUUAAUUACAAUGGGCGGAGUUCAUAAAUUUGCAAUGCCAAAGAACGCUUUCGCUGCCCAUGUUUGCUGAUGUUCUACAGGAGUUUGGGCCACAGAUGAGACUGAGAAGUAAUGUCUGUCUCAACAUAGUCAUCUUCAGAAUUAGAAUGGCACUGCUCUGAUAAUACAAGAUCGUGUACAUCAUCCUCUUCAAGUUUUCUGGAGAAUCCCAUUGAAUCCCCAGUUCUCCAUUUUCUCGCUUCCAUCCAUGUGUAGUGAGAGCUGAAAUAGGAAUUAACAAGGACUCGCAUGGUAGUCUAUGAGGAGGAUGCAAGGUAGUGUACAAUGUGUUGUAGUGAUCACGGCAGAGACCAACAGCCACCUGGUCAUCCUCAACUGUAAAACAUGCUACUUUUUGUUGCAGCACUUCCUCAAUCUCUUCAACUGAGGCAAGUUUUGUGGUUUUACAAAGUUUUUCGUUGCAAAUAUGUAUACUACAUUUCAACGUCUCCUUGACAAUUUUUGGUUUCCAUCUCGGUUGAAAGUUGGGAUUAUUACUUAUGCUACGUUUUAUUUGCUUUGAGCAACUGUAACAAAUACAAGCACUUUUGUCUAUAGACACACUUUCCACUUUUAACAGUAAUGAAUAUUCAUUCUCACUCAACUUUUGGACGUGUGUAUAUUUCUUUACUGUUUCCAUACAGAGACGACAGGGUCCACAAGAACCUUCGUGGAACGCAUUGAGUCUGGCCAUAUACACUGCUGAUGAUUCUGUAUACUGUGACAAAUUUGAUGUGUGAUGUAUGGCUUUUAAACAUCAUUAUUAUUCAUUGCUCAUUCUUGUGUGUGUUUACAAUUGUGUGUACAUAGUAUUUUUAUGUCAUCUUUGUACAUCGAUAUCUCGGAAAAUAUACAACAUACAUGACUGGAAA